rnacentral:rRNA from 1 species
GAUGAACGCUAGCUACAGGCUUAACACAUGCAAGUCGAGGGGCAGCAUGAACUUAGCUUGCUAAGUUUGAUGGCGACCGGCGCACGGGUGCGUAACGCGUAUCCAACCUUCCCGUUACUCAGGUAUAGCCUUGCGAAAGUAAGAUUAAUCCCUGAUGACAUAUGUUUGCUGCAUGGUGAACAUAUUAAAGAUUUAUCGGUAACGGAUGGGGAUGCGUUCCAUUAGGUAGUUGGUGAGGUAACGGCUCACCAAGCCUGCGAUGGAUAGGGGUUUUGAGAGGAAGGUCCCCCACACUGGAACUGAGACACGGUCCAGAUUCCUACGGGAGGAAGCAGUGAGGAAUAUUGGUCAAUGGUCGGAGAACUGAACCAGCCAAGUAGCGUGAGGGAUGAAUGCCCUAUGGGUUGUAAACCUCUUUUAUAUGGGAAUAAAAAAGAUUACGUGUAGUCUAUUGUAUGUACCUUAUGAAUAAGCAUCGGCUAAUUCCGUGCCAGCAGCCGCCGCGGUAA